AGGGUUGUAGUUUAGCGGUCUAAAACAAUUUGUUACGACCUGGUACUAUACACACUGACUUCGGAAAGCGUUGAAGCUGAAAAGCACGUAUCCAGGAAAUGAUGAACAACGAAGGUUCGAAUCCUUCUGACCCUG
rnacentral:tRNA from 1 species